rnacentral:rRNA from 1 species
GAUGAACGCUGGCGGCGUGCCUAAUACAUGCAAGUCGAGCGAACAGACGAGGAGCUUGCUCCUCUGACGUUAGCGGCGGACGGGUGAGUAACACGUGGAUAACCUACCUAUAAGACUGGGAUAACUUCGGGAAACCGGAGCUAAUACCGGAUAAUAUAUUGAACCGCAUGGUUCAAUAGUUAAAGACGGUUUUGCUGUCACUUAUAGAUGGUUCCGCGCCGCAUUAGCUAGUUGGUAAGGUAACGGCUUACCAAGGCAACGAUGCGUAGCCGACCUGAGAGGGUGAUCGGCCACACUGGAACUGAGACACGGUCCAGACUCCUACGGGAGGCAGCAGUAGGGAAUCUUCCGCAAUGGGCGAAAGCCUGACGGAGAAACGCCGCGUGAGUGAUGAAGGUCUUCGGAUCGUAAAACUCUGUUAUUAGGGAAGAACAAAUGUGUAAGUAACUAUGCACGUCUUGACGGUACCUAAUCAGAAAGCCACGGCUAACUACGUG